CCCCCAGUAGCGGCGAGCGAACGGGGAGCAGCCCAGAGCCUGAAUCAGUGUGUGUGUUAGUGGAAGCGUCUGGAAAGGCGCGCGAUACAGGGUGACAGCCCCGUACACAAAAAUGCACAUGCUGUGAGCUCGAUGAGUAGGGCGGGACACGUGGUAUCCUGUCUGAAUAUGGGGGGACCAUCCUCCAAGGCUAAAUACUCCUGACUGACCGAUAGUGAACCAGUACCGUGAGGGAAAGGCGAAAAGAACCCCGGCGAGGGGAGUGAAAAAGAACCUGAAACCGUGUACGUACAAGCAGUGGGAGCACAGAGCAAUCUGUGUGACUGCGUACCUUUUGUAUAAUGGGUCAGCGACUUAUAUUCUGUAGCAAGGUUAACCGAAUAGGGGAGCCGAAGGGAAACCGAGUCUUAACUGGGCGUUAAGUUGCAGGGUAUAGACCCGAAACCCGGUGAUCUAGCCAUGGGCAGGUUGAAGGUUGGGUAACACUAACUGGAGGACCGAACCGACUAAUGUUGAAAAAUUAGCGGAUGACUUGUGGCUGGGGGUGAAAGGCCAAUCAAACCGGGAGAUAGCUGGUUCUCCCCGAAAGCUAUUUAGGUAGCGCCUCGUGAAUUCAUCUCCGGGGGUAGAGCACUGUUUCGGCAAGGGGGUCAUCCCGACUUACCAACCCGAUGCAAACUGCGAAUACCGGAGAAUGUUAUCACGGGAGACACACGGCGGGUGCUAACGUCCGUCGUGAAGAGGGAAACAACCCAGACCGCCAGCUAAGGUCCCAAAGUCAUGGUUAAGUGGGAAACGAUGUGGGAAGGCCCAGACAGCCAGGAUGUUGGCUUAGAAGCAGCCAUCAUUUAAAGAAAGCGUAAUAGCUCACUGGUCGAGUCGGCCUGCGCGGAAGAUGUAACGGGGCUAAACCAUGCACCGAAGCUGCGGCAGCGACGCUUAUGCGUUGUUGGGUAGGGGAGCGUUCUGUAAGCCUGUGAAGGUGUACUGUGAGGUAUGCUGGAGGUAUCAGAAGUGCGAAUGCUGACAUAAGUAACGAUAAAGCGGGUGAAAAGCCCGCUCGCCGGAAGACCAAGGGUUCCUGUCCAACGUUAAUCGGGGCAGGGUGAGUCGACCCCUAAGGCGAGGCCGAAAGGCGUAGUCGAUGGGAAACAGGUUAAUAUUCCUGUACUUGGUGUUACUGCGAAGGGGGGACGGAGAAGGCUAUGUUGGCCGGGCGACGGUUGUCCCGGUUUAAGCGUGUAGGCUGGUUUUCCAGGCAAAUCCGGAAAAUCAAGGCUGAGGCGUGAUGACGAGGCACUACGGUGCUGAAGCAACAAAUGCCCUGCUUCCAGGAAAAGCCUCUAAGCAUCAGGUAACAUCAAAUCGUACCCCAAACCGACACAGGUGGUCAGGUAGAGAAUACCAAGGCGCUUGAGAGAACUCGGGUGAAGGAACUAGGCAAAAUGGUGCCGUAACUUCGGGAGAAGG
rnacentral:rRNA from 1 species